AUUCCAAGCUUUGGAAGUGUUAAAUCGUAAUAGUAAUUAUUCCAUAAAAUCUACCGAGAAAAAUGAAUAAAUUGUUGGUUUUUUGCAUUUUUGCCACGUUUAUCUGUACCAUUAAUGUAAGUGGACAAUUUACCUGCACAGAAGGUGAACCUUUCUGCUGCAAUAGCAUUAUGGAUGCUAAUAGUUCCACAGUAACAAGCUUACUUGGGGUUUUGGGUAUUGUUAUAGGUCAACCAAAUACUGCGGUCGGUACUAAUUGUAGUCCCGCCACGCUCCAAAAUUCGUGUUCAGAUUCAAAGGCGGCUUGCUGCACUGGUAACUUAUUCAAUAAUGGAUUGAUUGUUCUUAACUGUAAGCCAGCAAAUUAAGUUUAUUUUUAGUUGUAUGGUCUCAUAAUAAAAGUUGUAACUGCUC